GUAACACGUGGGUAACCUGCCUUAUAGUGGGGGAUAGCCUUUUGAAAGGAAGAUUAAUACCGCAUAAGAUUGUAGUAUCGCAUGAUAUAGCAAUUAAAGGAGCAAUCCGCUAUAAGAUGGACCCGCGUCGCAUUAGCUAGUUGGUGAGGUAAUGGCUCACCAAGGCGACGAUGCGUAGCCGACCUGAGAGGGUGAACGGCCACAUUGGGACUGAGACACGGCCCAGACUCCUACGGGAGGCAGCAUG
rnacentral:rRNA from 1 species